AAGUCGUAACAAGGUUUCCGUAGGUGAACCUGCGGAAGGAUCAUUAGUAGUGUUUGAGCUUAAAAGUGAAGGCGCAAGCCUGAACUUUUAAGCGAGCGAGGGUGGAGGAAAGAUACUGCUAGCACUAUGUGAUACAGUAUUAAUCCACACCCAGUCACGGGCGCUCGCAGGAGCGCCUUGUAACAAGUAAUUUACAUCUAAAUCAUACAAGCAAAACUUUUAACAAUGGAUCUCUGGGCUCCU
rnacentral:misc_RNA from 1 species